AAUUAACGCUGGCGGCGUGCCUCAGACAUGCAAGUCGAACGAUUAAGACUCUCUUCGGAGAGUGCAUAAAGUGGCGCACGGGUGAGUAACACGUAAGUAAUCUACCCUCGAGUGGGGAAUAACAACCGGAAACGGUUGCUAAUACCGCAUAAUGCAGCGGCACCGCAAGGUGACAGUUGUUAAAGAUUUAUCGCUUGGGGAGAAGCUUGCGGCAGAUUAGCUAGUGGUAAGGUAAUGGCUUACCAAGGCUACGAUCUGUAACCGGUCUAAGAGGACGGUCGGUCACACUGACACUGAAUAACGGGUCAGACUCCUACGGGAGGCAGCAGUCGGGAAUUUUGGGCAAUGGGCGAAAGCCUGACCCAGCAACGCCGCGUGAAGGAUG
rnacentral:rRNA from 1 species